rnacentral:lncRNA from 1 species
UGGCCAAAGAAAUAUCUAACAUCACCGACAGAAAUGAUCAAACACCUUUCUUUCUAAUGGGAUCUUCUGCCAGCAAUCUUGUUUAGCUACUGUAGCCAGAGCUCAUUAAUUUCAGUUGCAUAGAUAAAUUUAAUUAGUAGUGGACAAGUAUGGUCCAUCAAACUAUAUUGAACUGUAGCCUUAAGCGAGUGUGUUGUAACAAUUUUUUUUUCGAUGAAAACGUUGUAACGAAUCUUAUUGAAGCUGAACUGCAUUUUUGAUAACUUCAGAUAUGUUUAAAUAUAAAUUAGAGGAGGAAGUUGGACUGGAGUUCAAUCAAAUUGGGUAUCACUGGAGAGUUGGAAUAGCAUGGUUUGAGUUCAAUUUGAUUGGGCUGAGUCAGGUUAGGUUGGCUUCACUCAGCUUGGGUAGGUUUUGUCAAUUACAAUCAGUUCUAAUCUAGCCAGUCGAGUCCACUCUCAGGGUUGUCCUAGACCAAGUUACGCAAACAUGAGUUUGGUGGGGUCUGGUUAGACCUCAUCCAUUUAGAUAUUAAUGAUCCAAGGAAGAAAUCUUUAUGCGG